GACAGAGGCCCCAAGCGUUAGGCGGAAUCACUGGGCUUAAAGCGUGUGUAGGCGGACGCCUAAGUGUCUUGUGAAAUCCCACGGCUCAACCGUGGAACUGCUGGGCAUACUGCGGGUCUUGGGCCAACUAGGGGCAGCCGGAACAAGCGGUGGAGCGGUGAAAUGCGUAGAUAUCGCUUGGAACGCCGAAGGUGAAAACAGGCUGCUGGGGUUGCGCCGACGCUGAGACACGAAAGCCAGGGGAGCAAACGGG
rnacentral:rRNA from 1 species